rnacentral:sRNA from 1 species
GAACUUCAGUUUUGUUUUUACAUUUUAUCAAUUGGAACAGAUCUAGACGUCUAGGGUCCACAAUGAACUCUAUUUUUAACUGGACCAUCGCUGGAUGAAGCAUUUUUUGAAGGCAUUUUAUUGGUGUUCUAUCUGACUUAAUUUGUUUCUCGUGAUCUGAUUUAUUCUUGGCGCCAUGUCUUCUUUCUUUAAGUUUUUUGGAAAGAAAACCAAGAAAGACGAUGCCGACAUCAAGAUUGACCCAAACGUUGACCCUGAACUUGAAAAACGACGCCUGAGGCACUCACUGUCCAUCUCCCGUUCCGGGAGGUUCAAGCAGAAGAAGCGAGAGAGGAGCCAGAUCUCUGACAAGCCUGAGAUAUUCUUCGAUCUAGACGACGCCCCGAGCUCAGAGGCGCAGAACGAGAACAAGCCCGCUGCUGCCGGCGGCCACUCCACCUCCCAGCCCGGCAGGGGCAACCAUUCCGGGGCUCCGACCAGGUCCCCGAAAGCCUGUCGCGACGUUAACCCACCGCUGACCUCGAAGGGUGGACUCAGGGUGGGUCAGUCUGUCGCCACGUGACCAGAGUCAUAGGCAGACAUGACCCACCGAACGCUGUCUCAUACGAACAUGUAAAAAGCAUAAUGCGAUUCCUGAAGGUUUUUCCUCCAGUUCUCCUCUGUAUUCCUAAAAUACUACAUUGGAUCUAAGUUUGUUAACCAGCUUGUAUGGACAGUAAACACGCUAUGGAAUCGUUGUACUAUGCUGUUUAUUUUUAUGUAUACAUAUAUUCCAUAGGUCAUGAAAACAAAAAAUGUUGCUCUUUUAGUGCUUUCACGUGUUAAUCUUAUUCCAGACUGUUAAUGUAAUGUGAUUGAUUAACAUUCUUUGAUUUUCACACCCAUUGCCAAUUUCUGCUAGGACCGUGAACAUGUAUAAACAAUUGUUCUGCUUGUAGACAUGUGAACAUGUAUAAAUAUAUUCUUGCUGGGACCGUGAACAUGUAUAAAUAUAUGUUUGAUGGAACCGUGAACAUAUGUAUAAACUAUUCUAUGCUGAGACCGUGAACAUGUAUAAAUAGCUAUUUGCUGGGACCACGAACAUGUGUAAACUACAUUUCAAGAAUGCAGAUCUAGACUAACAGUGGUGACAUCGUAAUGCAGGAGCCGGUCCUUUAAGCAACAAACGUUGUCCAGGAUUUGCUGUUGUGCGGAUGUUUUUUUAUAACCUGAGUGACACAAGACAAGUGGAUUUAAACAUCUAGAUCUAAUAAAAACAUGAACAAACAUAUGGCUUUAUAUUCUUUUCUUAAAAGGCUAUUAUACAGAGAAAGAGCGUGUGGAUUUUAAAUGUCAUAAAGUUACUGUUUUUAGCUACUGUUUGUUUAUUUUUUUAUAAGAUUGGAGGGUCAUGUUAUCUAUUUUCAUUAUGCAUGUGCUAACUUUGAUUUAUUCUUUGAGAAAUGGGCAGGAAGGGAGGAGUUUAGUAUUGUUUUGUUUUUUUAAUUCAGAUGUUGUUGCACUAGGGUCUAACAGUUAAACAUUGUUAAUUUUGAUGUAGGCAUGAUUUGACACUUUCGUUUAUCCAAACAUUGACACAUUAAAUGAGCUACUUUUCUUGAAGAAUUAACUUCCAAUCAUUUCACCCAACUCAUCAACGACUGAUCUUAAUUGUGUACCAAGUAUUCUAAGUCAACGUGGAACUGUGACCAGAAUGUUUUCCAUUUUAUUACCACACAUACAGACCACUUGGUUUAUUUGAAGAGAUUUUUGUAGUGGUGGAAAACUUUAUUAGUAAUCGAACAGGAAUUUAUACGUUUUAAGAAUUGGAAAAAAAAGAUAUUAAGUUCCCAAAACUUCAUUUUUAAAUAAUUUUAUUGACACGAUUUGAAUGUAUCGUUUGCAGUGCUCUUACGACGCAACGGAGAUGACUGUCAAUCAAAGAUCAGUUCAGCAAAGUUAGACCUUAGUUUUUAACAAAUGUGCACAUGAAAAGUGUUUAGAAUCCGACCAAUUACAGUGUUUCUUUUAGAAAUGCCCUCCCCUCUUUACGCCAAAGAAUGUAUUGGAGUUCGAGAUACAAGUGUAUCUAUUCAUCCCCCCCCUUUUUUUUUGGCUAAUCUCCACCCUCGCCCCACCUCCAUAUCCUAAGUUCGCGUUUUCUAUUUUAGUUUACUUAGCAAUUAUUUAGACAAAAUUUACACACCGUCACAAUUUCUUUUUCAAAAGAUUUCUUUCAAACUGAGGAAAAAAGAAAAAUAGGAGAGGGGGGGGGGUUACAGUCUAUUCACGUGUCAUAACGUGCGGUAAUAGCAGACGACUUAGAAGAUUCCGAAACUUUGAACGCACUUCACAUUGUACUACCAUAGCUUACGAUUUCAUGUUCUUUAUAAAAUGUAUUGAAACUAGAAUCUAGUUGCUUGAAAGCCUAAUCUGCAAAGGGAAGGGGAGUCUGUGUCUUCUAAACAGGAAGUGAAGUACUGUUUAAAAUAAAAACACCAUCUGCUGCUUUUCAUUUUGCCAAAUAAAUAAGCAAUACACUUAGUAACUAACUGGCACAGUGCAAAGGAGGCUGUCCGCUUCUUAUAUUAUAUUUUGGUAGAAUUUAUAAGAUCAGUGAUGCCUAGACUGCAGCCCACGAGUCCCUAUAUGGCCCUUCAAAACUCCUGCUCAUAUUGUAUAAUGAAACCUCACAGACUUUUUUCAAUUUGAUUCAACAUUUUU